rnacentral:rRNA from 1 species
AAUCAACGCUGGCGGCGUGCCUCAGACAUGCAAGUCGAACGCGAAAUUUCCCUUCGGGGAGAAAGUAGAGUGGCGCACGGGUGAGUAACACGUAGGUAAUUUGCCUUUGGGUGGGGAAUAACUCAGGGAAACUUGAGCUAAUGCCGCAUAAUGCAGCGGCUCGACAUCGAGACAGUUGUUAAAGCGGGGGAGUUGGAGCAA